CCAGCAGAUGAUUAUUUAUCUCUACAAUUGCAGUGUUCUGUGUAUUUUACUCAUUUUUUAAUACCAUGGAGUCAGAAACACUUAACUGAAGGGUUCAGGAAAUGCCUUUAUCAAUGCUGCCAAAUACUUACUUUUUGAAUCUAUUAACAGUGUUUUCUGGCCCUGUGAGGCAGUCAGAGCUGUGUGAUUAUGGAAAGUAAACAACUGAAGUACCUAUGCAGGCAGCAAGAUUUAGAGUGCUCUUUUGCAGAUAACAGUGUGUCCAGAUAUUCAGAAAGAGGGAAGUUUUCAAGCAAGGUACUGACUGAUUUGUCAGCUGCUGUGUUGGGCACUGAGGCGGUGAGACACAGGAUGCAGUUCACUUGGGCGUUGGCACCAAGGAGAAUUUUCCUCCUUGUAAUCUGGCAAAGUGCCAUAUCUCCUCACCAAAGAGAUGGAAACAAAACAUAUUUUUCCUCGUCAUUAUGCAAGAAUUGAAAUAAUAAACUGUUCUGAGAUCUUG